UUCAUUGAUUUUAUGCAGAUUUAUGCAAUAUUGUUAUUUCAGUACAUAAUUUAAAUUAAAUAAGUUUAUGUAAGUUCUUAUGAUAUUUUGAUGAAAUUAAUUUAGAAAAGAUUAAAUCAUUUUAAAUAAAUUUAUUUUUCUAAAAACUACUAUCCACUCACUGAGCUCACUGAGUUUUAUACUCACCCCGUUUUUAUUAUAUUUUUCC
rnacentral:lncRNA from 1 species